rnacentral:rRNA from 1 species
CGCGGCCUAUCAGCUUGUUGGUGGGGUAAUGGCCUACCAAGGCGACGACGGGUAGCCGGCCUGAGAGGGCGACCGGCCACACUGGGACUGAGACACGGCCCAGACUCCUACGGGAGGCAGCAGUGGGGAAUAUUGCGCAAUGGGCGAAAGCCUGACGCAGCGACGCCGCGUGAGGGAUGAAGGCCUUCGGGUUGUAAACCUCUUUCAGCAGGGAAGAAGCGAAAGUGACGGUACCUGCAGAAGAAGCACCGGCUAACUACGUGCCAGCAGCCGCGGUAAUACGUAGGGUGCAAGCGUUGUCCGGAAUUAUUGGGCGUAAAGAGCUCGUAGGCGGUCUGUCGCGUCUGCUGUGAAAACUCGGGGCUUAACCCCGGGCCUGCAGUGGGUACGGGCAGACUAGAGUGCGGUAGGGGAGACUGGAAUUCCUGGUGUAGCGGUGAAAUGCGCAGAUAUCAGGAGGAACACCGGUGGCGAAGGCGGGUCUCUGGGCCGUAACUGACGCUGGGGAGCGAAAGCGUGGGGAGCGAACAGGAUUAGAUACCCUGGUAGUCCACGCCGUAAACGUUGGGCGCUAGGUGUGGGGCUCUUUCCACGAGUUCCGUGCCGCAGCUAACGCAUUAAGCGCCCCGCC